AAUAGUUGGGUUUCAUGUUUUUUGUUCUCUCUUCGAUUAAAAUAAAACUUCUCAUUCAGUUUCUUUCUUUCUGGUGCUAUUGAAUGUCUUUCUGUUAUGUAUGAGGCUAAAAUUGGGGCUUGUAGGAAAACAACAUAUUUGAUGAUUUAUUAUGAAUUUCAGCCAUUGGGAUUGCAUUAAACGUUGUGCAUUCUGCAGACAUGUUUUUAGGAUAAGGAAAUGUUGUGGCUUUAAUUUAUUUUGGGUUAUGUAUAUUCUAAAUUUCUUGUGAAUUGAUUGAACUUUUUUACUCAAUAGGUGCCCUAAUUUAGCUCCUUUACUCUAGACUUUUAUUUGUUUUUUAAAUUAUAUAAUCAAUUUAUUGAAUUUCGUAACAUAAUUUGUAAAAAAAAAAAAUUGACAGGCAUGAACAUUAAUUUUAUCUGAAAAAUAAAAGAUGAUGUGAAUGUAUUUUUUUUAUCACAUUUUUGACUUACUGCUUUAUUUUUUUAUCUCUAUUCAUAAAACCAUGGUUGGUACACAUCCAUAGGUGUUUGGUGUAUAAGUUUCCGAAUAAAGUGAUCUCUUAUCUCAAUAUUCAAUAUCUUUUAUGAUCUUCAUGAAGCAUUUAUACAUUCAUUGGUGUUUGGUGUAUAAGUUUCCUAUUGAAGUGAUCUCUUAUCUCAAUAUUUGACAUCUUUUAAGGUCUUCAUGAGUCAUUCAUGCUAUGAACUUCAUAAUUUAAUUGUCUCUUAACAAGACAUGUUGAACUUCAGAAGAUUGUCCCUACUUUAAAAGGAAGUGCAACUUCUUUAUUUUAUGUUCUGAAAUAGCUGAAUGUAUAUGGAAAUAUUUAAUAAGAAGACAAAAAGUGGACUAUGAGAACGAUAACAAGUCUAAUGAUUAAGAUGAGUUUCAUCAAAUAGGCGGAAGAGGUGAGAAAGCACAACUUUCAUGUAAAGCAGAUCACGCAAGAAUCUUAACAAAUUGAAAUGACAAUGAAAAUCCAGCAAUUCAAAAGAGGCCUCGUGUUUUUUGGUCUAUAAUGCUUCACAAGGGAAUGAGGCAAUUCAUCUCCAGAUUUUGAAGACUGAAUUUACAAGUCAAGAUGAAGAUUUUGAAGACUUCAUGCAACCUAACUAGACGAUUAUCAUUUGGCUGGGACUUUUAGACAAAAUAUUCUGAUAUACGCUUAGAUGUUAAAGUGUUUGCUCAAGGAUUAUAUAAACAACGAUAUGACUUAUGAGCCAUAUGUCAUGGCCAUGCUACUAAUGAUAUGUUAGUUUAUGUUUGUAAUCAAGGCUUUUAUCUGUAUCUAUUAUCUAUGUUGUAUGUAUUGUAGUAUUUUAAGA